UACGUAGGUGGCAAGCGUUGUCCGGAUUUACUGGGCGUAAAGAGCGCGCAGGCGGUCGUAUAAGUCGAAUGUGAAAGCCCCCGGCUCAACUGGGGAGGGUCAUUCGAUACUGUUCGACUCGAAGGCAGGAGAGGGAAGUGGAAUUCCGGGUGUAGUGGUGAAAUGCGUAGAUAUCCGGAGGAACACCAGCGGCGAAGGCGGCAUCCUGGACUGGUCCUGACACUCAGGAGCGAAAGCGUGGGGGAGCGAUCCGG
rnacentral:rRNA from 1 species